rnacentral:lncRNA from 1 species
AGGUGUGUCACUGUGGGCUUUUGCUUAAAGACCCUCAUUCUAUCUUCCUCCAGGAAUUUCCUCCAGUAUUUUCAUAGCAACCUUCAGAUGAAAGUGUAGAACUCUCAGCUCCUCCUGCAUCAUGACUGCCUGGGGCUGCCAUGUUCCUGCCUUGAUGAUAAUGGACUGAACCUCUAAACCUGACUGGUUGUUCUAUUUCUGAGAUCUCUGAGACCCAGCCCACCAGGAACACACAAAUGUGGAACCGAGAUAGGCUGAGGACUUAUUAAACAGAAUUCUGCUGUUCCUAUCCCAGGGUUGGACCAAUGUGUAGAAAAUUGCUUAUGGGAUUCUUUGAAUGACUUUUUCAUUGCGGGAAAUAUUAAAAAUGAACCUGCCAACCUUCCACACUCCUGCUUCUUUCAAGCCACCAACUCAAGAGAUCUGUCUCUGCCUCCUACGUGCUGGAAUCAAAGAAAUUACUUCACUGCCAUUAGAGCCUACUUCUUCAGGAUUCUGCUUAUACUGAAAACCAUGUGGGACAUCCAGCCUUGUGGACUGAACAACUUCUGGCUUCUUGGACCUUUCACUGUUAGUCAGCCAUUGUUGGACCACAGCCUAUAAGUCGUUCUAAUAAAUCUCCUACAUAUAGA